GACAGCUGGAUCCGGGCAAGACGUCUACACUACAUUGAAUCGUAGGCGAGAGCGACUCUCUAGCACAACAGACAGGCGUGACGUCAUGAAGAGGAGGGAUAUGAACGUAUGAAGGAGAAGGAAGACUGCUCAGUUUAAAAACCAAGAGGGGCUGUAGCAAUUCAAAUGCAGUUAAGCUGAACAGUAUGGCCAGUGGGAAGACCUUCAACUUUAUGGCAAGAAAGAAGAAGAGGAGACAGCAUGAUGGAGAUGCUCUCUGCUGCCUGCUGCUACAGAGUAAUAGACUGGCAGCUGUGAGAGCUGUGAAUGCUGCCUCCGCUAUAUCAGCUACACGCUGCACCAAGAAACUGCCCUCUGUGUCUAUAUACAGCGCCUUUCCUCCCAGACCUCCAAAACACACUGGAAUCUGUACAUCCACAGCCAACUGCAUGCUUUGAAAAAGAAAAGUCUCUACUAUGAAAAUUACAAAGGCACCUAUAGCACAGACCACUUUUGAAACAAUGUUAAAACUGAAGUAUGUAACUUUUUCUGUGUUAAAAUACUUUCUUCUAUCCCAGCUUAAUAUUCUGAGACAACUAUAAGUAAGCAAUUCAUAGGUUAAUUUUCUCAAAAACUGAAAACACUGUGUCUCUGUGGUGCUACUAAAAUUGUUUUUUUUUUUUUUUGUUUUUUUUUUUUGGAACGACAUGCUUAGACCCUUAGUUUGGGGCGGAACUAUCUGACUGUUUGAGCAACGGCAGACAGGGGGCAUAUUCAGAAAGCUGUUUUGAAAACAUUGUUUUCGCAAUUCCAUUAAGAUGGCACUAGUGUCGCUGAAAUUACAUACUUCAGCUUUAAGCUACAAUCUAAUAUAAACACACAAAGUGGUCAAAGUGCAUUUAAGAUACAUAAAUAAAUUGUGACAUUUUAUUAACAUAUACCAUUUUACACUGACAAUUGCAAUUUUAUUCCAUUUAUUCCAUAUCAUAGUUGAGUCUUUCCGACACCAGGGGCUCCACAGAUCUCGGUGGUCUUUACAACAGGCACUCCCCCUCCAAGGGCAUCACUAAGACCGAGCAGAAUGUCACAAUGCUCCCCAAAGCCCUCUUAGUGCAGGAGAUCCAGUGCUGUUAAGCUCUCUGUGGCUUCCCUCUGCUGGUGAGAUUGGGUAUCACAGCGCAAAAUCUUCAACACCUCCACUGCCUCCUGUUGUGAUAUCCCUGCCUCUGUGGAAAAAAGAACCAUUGCACAUCCAACAAAAUGUUUUUUGCCAUUUACAGCUCCAUAUAGGACUUGAAUAAAUAACUGUUGUUGUGAUUAUGGUAAAACACCUUUGCAGAGUUGAAGUGGACGAAGGUUAAUCAAAUCUGCGGCCACCUGGAAACCCGCAUUGAUUAGUUUUACCUUCACUGAAGACGCCAGGGGGAGGCUUGGUACAGUCCUUUGCAUUAUUUACUACAAGUGGUGACUU